rnacentral:rRNA from 1 species
GCACUUUCGGACAAGCCUGGGAAACUGGGUCUAAUACCGGAUAUACCCUGCUGGUCGCAUGGCCUGGUGGGGGAAAGCUUUUGCGGUGUGGGAUGGGCCCGCGGCCUAUCAGCUUGUUGGUGAGGUUACGGCUCACCAAGGCGACGACGGGUAGCCGGCCUGAGAGGGUGACCGGCCACACUGGGACUGAGAUACGGCCCAGACUCCUACGGGAGGCAGCAGUGGGGAAUAUUGCACAAUGGGCGCAAGCCUGAUGCAGCGACGCCGCGUGGGGGAUGACGGCCUUCGGGUUGUARACCUCUUUCAGUGGGGACAAAGCGCAAGUGACGGUACCUACAAAAGAAGGACCGGCCAACUACUUUCCAGCAGCCGCGGUAAUUCAAG